AGUGAACGCUGGCGGUAGGCCUAACACAUGCAGGUCGAACGGCAGCACAGGAGAGCUUGCUCUCUAGGUGGCGAGUGGCGGACGGGUGAGGAAUACAUCGGAAUCUGCCCAGUCGUGGGGGAUAACGUAGGGAAACUUACGCUAAUACCGCAUACGACCUUCGGGUGAAAGAGGGGGAUCGCAAGACCUCUCACGAUUGGAUGAGCCGAUGUCGGAUUAGCUAGUUAGCGGGGUAAUGGCCCACCAAGGCGACGAUCCGUAGCUGGUCUGAGAGGAUGAUCAGCCACACUGGAACUGAGACACGGUCCAGACUCCUACGGGAGGCAGCAGUGGGGAAUAUUGGACAAUGGGCGCAAGCCUGAUCCAGCCAUACCGCGUGGGUGAAGAAGGCCUUCGGGUUGUAAAGCCCUUUUGUUGGGAAAGAAAUCUUUCAGGCUAAUACCCUGGGAGGAUGACGGUACCCAAAGAAUAAGCACCGGCUAACUUCGUG
rnacentral:rRNA from 1 species